GGCGUGGUGGGGUAGUGGUUAGCCCUGGGACCCAUUGUAUUUCUGCAGCACCCGCGCAUCUAACUCUGAUCCCAGACGCAAGUUCAAAUCUUGCCCGCACCC